AAGUCGUAACAAGGUCUCCGUUGGUGAACCAGCGGAGGGAUCAUUACUGAGUACUACACUCUCUACCCUUUGUGAACUAUUAUACCUGUUGCUUCGGCGGGCGCCCGCAAGGGUGCCCGCCGGUCUCAUCAGAAUCUCUGUUUUCGAACCCGACGAUACCUCUGAGUGUUCUUAGCGAACUGUCAAAACUUUUAACAACGGAUCUCUUGGCUCCAGCAUCGAUGAAGAACGCAGCGAAACGCGAUAUGUAAUGUGAAUUGCAGAAUUCAGUGAAUCAUCGAAUCUUUGAAACGCACAUGGCGCCUUCCAGUAUCCUGGGAGGCAUGCCUGUCCGAGCGUCGUUUCAACCCUCGAGCCCCUGUGGCCCGGCGUUGGGGAUCUGCCACGGCAGGCCCCUAAAACCAGUGGCGACCCGAAGGGCCUCUCCUUUUGCGCAGUAGCAUUCGCCUCGCAUCGGGAGUCCUCGGCGUCCUGCCUCUAAACCCCCCACAAGCCCGCUUCGGCGGCACCAGGGUUGACCUCGGAUCAGGUAGGAAUACCCGCUGAACUUAA
rnacentral:rRNA from 1 species